CCAGCUCCCAGGUACCUCCCGCUCAUCUGCCCGAGGCUCCUGGGGAUGUGGCUCUUGGGUUUCAGGAGGGCCCUGCUCCUCCUGUGGGAACCACGGACACGUGUGUGCCCGCGUGCCCUGAGCUCACACACACACACCAUGGCGCAUGGGCAGGGAAGCGGCGCUCCUGGCUACCCGGAAGAGUCUCUCCCUUUUGCAAACGCCAGCCACAGAGGUUUAUUUUUCUCCCUGAGAGAAGGAAGAGUGAAGGCUGAGACUGAGACAGAAGGACAGAAGGAGAAGACUUAGAAGCCAGUGAGCCCGGAACCACGAGACGCG
rnacentral:lncRNA from 1 species